rnacentral:rRNA from 1 species
AGAGUUUGAUCCUGGCUCAGAUUGAACGCGGGCGGCAGGCCUAACACAUGCAAGUCGAGCGGUAACAGGGGUAGCUUGCUACCCGCUGACGAGCGGCGGACGGGUGAGUAACGCGUGAGAAUCUGCCCAUUAGUGGGGGAUAACUCGGGGAAACUCGAGCUAAUACCGCAUAAUCCCUACGGGGGAAAGCAGGGGACCUUCGGGCCUUGUGCUGAUGGAUGAGCUUGCGUCGGAUUAGCUAGUUGGUGAGGUAAGGGCUCACCAAGGCGACGAUCCGUAGCUGGUCUGAGAGGAUGAUCAGCCACACUGGGACUGAGACACGGCCCAGACUCCUACGGGAGGCAGCAGUGGGGAAUCUUGGACAAUGGGGGAAACCCUGAUCCAGCCAUGCCGCGUGUGUGAAGAAGGCCUUCGGGUUGUAAAGCACUUUCGGACGGAACGAAAUCGCGCGGGUGAAUAUCCCGCGUGGAUGACGGUACCGUAAGAAGAAGCACCGGCUAACUACGUGCCAGCAGCCGCGGUAAUACGUAGGGUGCGAGCGUUAAUCGGAAUUACUGGGCGUACAGUGUGCGCAGGCGGACGCGCAAGUCGAGUUGUGAAAGCCCCGGGCUUAACUUGGGAAUUGCGCUCGAAACCUACG